GAUGAACGCUAGCGACAGGCUUAACACAUGCAAGUCGAGGGGCAGCGGGGAUUAUAGCAAUACUAUUUGCCGGCGACCGGCGCACGGGUGAGUAACACGUAUGCAACCUACCCACUACAGGGGGAUAGCUCGCUGAAAGGCGAAUUAAUACCGCAUAAUACAGGGAUCUCGCAUGAGAUUAUUUGUUAAAGAAUUUUCGGUAGUGGAUGGGCAUGCGUUCCAUUAGCUAGUUGGUAAGGUAACGGCUUACCAAGGCAACGAUGGAUAGGGGUUCUGAGAGGAAGGUCCCCCACACUGGUACUGAGACACGGACCAGACUCCUACGGGAGGCAGCAGUGAGGAAUAUUGGUCAAUGGGCGAGAGCCUGAACCAGCCAAAUCGCGUGAAGGACGACGGUAUUAUGUAUUGUAAACUUCUUUUAUAAGGGAAUAAAAAGUAGGACGUGUCCUAUGUUGCAUGUACCUUAUGAAUAAGCAUCGGCUAACUCCGUGCCAGCAGCCGCAGUAAGAC
rnacentral:rRNA from 1 species